rnacentral:rRNA from 1 species
UCGAGAAUCUUCGGCAAUGGGCGCAAGCCUGACCGAGCGACGCCGCGUGCGGGAUGAAGGCCCUUGGGUUGUAAACCGCUGUCAGAGGGGAUGAAGUGCCGGAAAGCUAUCUUUCCGGUUUGACAUAGCCUCAGAGGAAGCACGGGCUAAGUUCGUGCCAGCAGCCGCGGUAAUACGAACUGUGCAAACGUUAUUCGGAAUCACUGGGCUUAAAGGGUGCGUAGGCGGCCAUGUAAGUAGGGUGUGAAAG